GUCCCUGUAGCGCAAUGGAUAGUGCAUGGAACUUCGAAUUCAGAGGACGUGGGUUCGAAUGCCACCUGGGAUG